rnacentral:rRNA from 1 species
UGAAGCGGCAAAAGCUCAAAUUUGAAAUCUGGCACUUUCAGUGUCCGAGUUGUAAUUUGAAGAAGGUAUCUUUGGGUCUGGCUCUUGUCUAUGUUUCUUGGAACAGAACGUCACAGAGGGUGAGAAUCCCGUGCGAUGAGAUGUCCCAGACCUAUGUAAAGUUCCUUCGAAGAGUCGAGUUGUUUGGGAAUGCAGCUCUAAGUGGGUGGUAAAUUCCAUCUAAAGCUAAAUAUUGGCGAGAGACCGAUAGCGAACAAGUACAGUGAUGGAAAGAUGAAAAGAACUUUGAAAAGAGAGUGAAAAAGUACGUGAAAUUGUUGAAAGGGAAGGGCUUGAGAUCAGACUUGGUAUUUUGUAUGUUACUCUCUCGGGGGUGGCCUCUACAGUUUACCGGGCCAGCAUCAGUUUGAGCGGUAGGAUAAGUGCAAAGAAAUGUGGCACUGCUUCGGUAGUGUGUUAUAGUCUUUGUCGAUACUGCCAGCUUAGACUGAGGACUGCGGCUUCGGCCUAGGAUGUUGGCAUAAUGAUCUUAAGUCGCCCGUCUUGAA